GUGGGGAAUCUUGCGCAAUGGGCGAAAGCCUGACGCAGCCAUGCCGCGUGAAUGAUGAAGGUCUUAGGAUUGUAAAAUUCUUUCACCGGGGACGAUAAUGACGGUACCCGGAGAAGAAGCUCCGGCUAACUUCGUGCCAGCAGCCGCGGUAAUACGAAGGGGGCUAGCGUUGCUCGGAAUUACUGGGCGUAAAGGGCGCGUAGGCGGACAGCUUAGUCAGAGGUGAAAGCCCAGGGCUCAACCUUGGAAUUGCCUUUGAUACUGGCUGUCUUGAGUUUGGGAGAGGUGAGUGGAACUCCGAGUGUAGAGGUGGAAUUCGUAGAUAUUAGGAAGAACACCAGUGGCGAAGGCGGCUCACUGGUCCGGUACUGACGCUGAGGUGCGAAAGCGUGGGGAGCAAACAGGAUUAGAAACCCUUGUAGUCC
rnacentral:rRNA from 1 species